GUAGGGAAUAUUGCACAAUGGAGGAAACUCUGAUGCAGCGACGCCGCGUGAGUGAUGAAGGCCUUCGGGUCGUAAAGCUCUGUCGCAGGGGAAUAACACAAUGAAGGUACCCUGUAAGAAAGGAUCGGCUAACUUCGUGCCAGCAGCCGCGGUAAGACGAGGGAUCCUAGCGUUGUUCGGAAUCAUUGGGCGUAAAGCGGAUGUAGGUGGCUAUGUAAGUCAUAUGUGAAAGCCUGGGGCUCAACCCCAGAAGUGCAUUUGAUACUGCGUAGCUUGAGUGUCGGAGAGGUUACUAGAAUUGUUGGUGUAGUGGUGAAAUGCGUAGAUAUCAACAGGAAUAACGUGGGCGAAGGCGGGUAACUGGCCGAACACUGACACUGAGAUCCGAAAGCGUGGGGAUCAAACAGGAUUAGAAACCCCAGUAGUCC
rnacentral:rRNA from 1 species